AUAAGAUUUUUUUUUUUUUUCUUAAAUUUUUAUUCUUGAAUCUGCAGUAUUCAUCUUAGUGCUGAUCAUGAUGUAUUAUAAUAAUUGGUUCAGCGGGGCCAGAGUUAAUCUGGAAUCCAAGUUUUUGACACUCAAUGAAUAGAUCCCUUCGGAAAAUUGAAAGAGAGAAGCCCACUAGGUUUUCCUCUAAGCAGCUUAAAGGAAGGACCAAUAACUUCAGCUACUUGCUGGGAUCAGGUGGGUUUGUGGCAGUUUAUAAAGGGAGAUUUGCUGAUGGCACACCGGUGGCGGUAAAGGUUCCUAGAGCUAGGGAGAUCCGCUAUGAGAAUCGAGGAACAUUUCAUGGCAGAAGUGAAUACCAUUGGAAGUGUCCAUCAUCUCAACCUGGUUCAGAUCCAUGGCUUCUGCUUCCACAGAUUUGAGAGCUCUGGUGUGAGUAUAUGGAUCAUGGCACGCUUGACAACUAUCUGUUUCAAGUAAACCAGUUGGAAUUCGGGAAGUUUCACGAGAUUUCUGUUGGCACAACCAAAGCCAUUGCGUAUUUGCACAAAGAAAUGCCAACAGAGAACCACUAUGGUAUAAAGCCCGGAAACGUUCUCUUGGACUCCAACUUCACCCCUAAAGUAGCUGACUUCGGCUUGGCCUGGGUAUGCCGCAUCCGAACUGUAGCUGCCCUUCCCUAUAACCCUUAAUGUGAAUGUUAAAAGGGUCAAGGGUGGUUCCUAAUAUUGGUUUGGAAUAAAUUAGCGAGUGAUGAUAUGGAUGAACUUAUGGUUGUUUGUGGUAUUGAGGAGAACAGAUCCAAGGUAGAGAACAUGGCAAAGGCAGCUCUAUGGUGUGUUCAGUACAAGCCAAAAGCAAGGCCUUCAGUGACCGUGGAGGUGAAAGGGUUGGAGGAAGCCAUAAGUAUUCCUACACCUUUAUCACUACUUCAUAGGGGGUUCCACUGCUGAUAUCCCCACCACCUAUACCACAGGGACAACCUCCAGCUUUGAUUCGGGUUCCCCUCAAAACAAGUGAGGUGGGUAGCGUUUGGAGGCAAAAGUAAUUAAAAGGGAAACAGAAAGGAGAGGAGGAGCAGAACCUAACCUAACUCAACCAGAACGCCAUAAAGAAACUGACACAAAGUGUAGUGGUGGAGCUCCCAUAACUGAAAGAAUAAACUGGGCCAUUAAAGAGACAAAUCGGGCUUUCAAAAUGGGCGAAGUUGAUCACAAGUCACAGAUGAAACACCAAACUGUGCAGCCUUGUUGGUUGAUACAGAAGCGGACAAACCAUUUUCUGGAACGGCAAAGUACCAGCUAGCGGUGGUUCUUGUGGUGUGGCAAACACAAUUGCUUCCACAGGCGGUCUGCAACUUUCUCACAAGCAAAUAGGGGUUCACAGCAGCAACAUAUUGGGAUUGGGCCUUCGCAGCUGUGCUGAAGAACCCAUUAGGAAGGAUGCCCACGACUGGGACCACCACAUCAAUGAUGCCUACAACUGCAUGCACAUUGUGGUGCAGUAGAUUCCUACAUGUGUGGCCUUACCCUACUACCCCAACUUCACACCCCCUAUGAUCUGCCCUAAUGCCAUAACAAACCCUACAAGUCUUUUCAAAAACUUUGGCUCUGCCAUGACCUUGAAGGAAAUCUAGUUGGGAUGCUGAAUUAUUGCAUUUUGGUGUCUCUCUCUCUCUCUCUCUCCCUCCUCCUCCCUCCCACACCCCACCACCCACCACACACCGCUCUCUCUCUCUCUCUCAAUUGUGAGUUCCUCUUCAUGCAUACUCUUCCCGCUACUAAAAUUUCCAUAGCCUAUCUAUCUGGGCUUUAUGUUUGUUAAUGAAAAUCCACAGAGAGGAGCAAGGGAGAGAAUUUGAGCUGGGACUCAGCUGUCCGCCGCAAAGACAAUUGGAACAUGAUACUGGCGAAAUUGUAAGGUCAUGUAGCCCCCUUAUCAAUAAGCGACAAGUCAUAGAGGAGGUAGCCACAAACUUGAGGCCUUGGGCAUCUUUGCUAAUGAUAGAUCCUUUGCCUAAAAAUACUCUGAACUAGAAUGAAGCUGCCUGCAGAAGAUGACUACUCCAUUCCAGUGUAGUUUUAGCAUGCAAUGGCAUAAUUUGUUAGUCAGGUCAGUGCUCUAAGCAUUUAUCCUAAGUGGGAUAAUAUCAAGAUUAUCUUUCUGUUUUCCUUCUCUUCUAAGGGGGUAUGUAUAUACAUGCAGAACUAUCCUUUUAUUCCUUUAUGCAUUUUGACAAUUAUGUUUAAA